UACGUAGGUGGCAAGCGUUGUCCGGAUUUAUUGGGUUUAAAGGGUGCGUAGGCGGCCUUGUAAGUCAGUGCUGAAAUAUCCCGGCUUAACCGGGAGGGUGGCAUUGAUACUGCAGGGCUUGAGUAAAGUUGAGGUUGGCGGAAUUGACGGUGUAGCGGUGAAAUGCUUAGAUAUCGUCAAGAACACCGAUAGUGAAGACAGCUAACUAAGCUUUAACUGACGCUGAGGCGCGAAAGCGUGGGGAGCAAACAGG
rnacentral:rRNA from 1 species